rnacentral:tmRNA from 1 species
GGGGGUGCCGGGAUUCGAUGGGUGUUCGUUCCACAUCCAGCAGGCCGAGGGGGCGCAGAACCUCGUAAAUCUCACUGCGCACGAAAGCCAAGUGUCAAUGCUUUCCAUCGAGCAAAGGAAGCGGUCGCGAAUGCGUUCCGCAUGCCAAUGCUUGCUUCGGCGAUCGCGUAAGCGUAUUGCCCAUCCGAAUUGCCAAUGCUCGAUAGGCAAACCUCGGGUGUUAUACCUUCGAGCUGGUCGUGCCAUGCGCCCCAAUGGUGCGACGAGAUGACGCGGGCUCAUCGCGUGCGCAUUUCGUCCUGUUCGAGCGGACGCGAGACAUCAUCAACAGGACUGUGCCUGGAGAAGGACGCGGUCAACGUGCAUUCCACACAGGGGUUCAACUCCCCUCACCUCCACUG